rnacentral:rRNA from 1 species
AUGCAGUCGACGAUGAACCUCCUUCGGGAGGGGAUUAGUGGCGAACGGGUGAGUAACACGUGGGCAAUCUGCCCUGCACUCUGGGACAAGCCCUGGAAACGGGGUCUAAUACCGGAUACUGACCCGCUUGGGCAUCCAAGCGGUUCGAAAGCUCCGGCGGUGCAGGAUGAGCCCGCGGCCUAUCAGCUUGUUGGUGAGGUAAUGGCUCACCAAGGCGACGACGGGUAGCCGGCCUGAGAGGGCGACCGGCCACACUGGGACUGAGACACGGCCCAGACUCCUACGGGAGGCAGCAGUGGGGAAUAUUGCACAAUGGGCGAAAGCCUGAUGCAGCGACGCCGCGUGAGGGAUGACGGCCUUCGGGUUGUAAACCUCUUUCAGCAGGGAAGAAGCGAAAGUGACGGUACCUGCAGAAGAAGCGCCGGCUAACUACGUGCCAGCAGCCGCGGUAAUACGUAGGGCGCGAGCGUUGUCCGGAAUUAUUGGGCGUAAAGAGCUCGUAGGCGGCUUGUCACGUCGGUUGUGAAAGCCCGGGGCUUAACCCCGGGUCUGCAGUCGAUACGGGCAGGCUAGAGUUCGGUAGGGGAGAUCGGAAUUCCUGGUGUAGCGGUGAAAUGCGCA